AGAGUCUAGGAGAAAUCUGACAGGUCAAAGGGUACGAGGGAAAUGUCGAAAACCGGGAGGAACUCAGCAAGACCUGUUUGUUCAGCCCCUUCCUGGCAUCCCUGGCUUCAGAGGUUCUGAAGGCUGGAAGUCCAAGAUCAAGAUGCCGACAUAUUCAGUGUCUGGUGAGACCCCUCUUCCUGGUUCAUAAGACAGUGUCUUCUCACUGUGUGAGAGGUGCUGCCAAACUGUUGAUUUCCUUCAAGUCCUGAUCUUUCUUUAUUCAGAUAAGUUUGCAGGGGGAGGGCUUCCAUUUCUACACACCAGAUAGAAUGCAUUUCCUUUUCACCUAUUUAGGCUAAUGGCUUUUCAGUGUUAUGCAGAGUAAAGAAAUUAUUUGGCUUCUAUUCAGAAGACAAUUUGGUUUGAAAAAGAAAAGGCUAAUUCCAGCAUAAUCAUUAAAUGAAAAUGAGAAAGUUUAGCACAAAUUUUAAAAAAACCCAAAAAACAAAGAAAGAAAGAAAGAAAGAAAAGUCAGUUGAAGAUUUUCUAGGAAUUACAAAUUGUUCUGCUCUGUUUAGGUUUAGAUAAGCUUCUCAUUACUUCCCAAGCUGAUAGAGUCUUUGACAAGGAUUUUCUUAUGGGUGGAGGUUUUCCUAAUACUUCACUUUGCUGUUAAUACAUUUCUUUUUUAAGCUGAAUUUGUCUUUGGAAAAUUGGUUAAACUUAUGACCCUGGAAGUCUGGUCUGUCUUGGAGAGAGAAAUGAACUUGAAAAGAAUUACUGUGAAGUGAGGGAUACAAGCCUUUAACAUAUGAAAAUUAAAAUAAUGGCUCAUAAUCAAUACAGCAUGCUUUGUGACAGAGUAUUUGUAGACUAGAUUUAUAUCAGAAAUUCAACAAAAUUACACAUCAUCACUACCUUAUCCCCUAACAUCAUCUAAAUGUAUAACUUUUAGUAGAUGUAGGGGUCCAUGACCCAGGAAAUUAAAAAAAAAAUCUUUAGAGAUGGAAUGAAAUUAUAUGCAAUAGUAGUGAUUCUGUUCCACUUCUAAUGGGGCUGAAGUGGCCAUGUACCCUCCAGUUACAAAAUCCCAUAGGCUAUUGGAAAAAUGAGUGCAUACCCUCUGGCAUCUGGAUUCCUUCUCUUUGGGAUAUAUUACAGGCCUUCUUUAAACACUUCCCAUAGAAACAUGAAUAAUGUUUCUUGACCUGAAUGUCAUAUAAUCUAAAAAUUGUCUAUAGAUAGAACUUUUUCACUGGUGCCAGGAAAUCAGCUUAGGCUCACUAUAUCCAUUCUAAGCCUCCGAAAGAGAGCUUUAAACUUCUUUGGCAUGCCAAAAGUCUAGGUUUGAAUUAAAUGACUAAUGCUUUACCUAGUUUUUACCACGACUUCUCUCUGCCAGAAUCUUUUCAAUUCAUCCUCAGCCAAAACUGUCAUCCAUCCUGGCAACGUACCUUUUCACCUCCCCACACCUCAUGUCUUUGCUUUUCCAGUCCUUUGGCUGCCCUCCUGUUUCUUCCCUCACAUACUUGUCUGACUGGUUCCUAGAAGCUUGGCUGAGAUUUUUCUCUGCCAUAAAUCUGGCUACCACAAAUUAAGGGCCCGGUGCCCAAACACACCUCUCUCAAUGAAAAUCUAAGUAGAUCUAAUAUAUAAGCAAAGAGAAUACUUCUAUUUUCUUUCUAAAAAUAAAUCAUGCCUUGGCUUUUAAAGGAGAGAAUGAAGAGCAGGUUGACAGAGAAAAUAACUGGUUAGAACAGAGGUUAGGAAAAGACUUGAGGUAAGAAUAGUUACUCAACCAUGAUAAUAUCAGAAAAAGCAACAACCUUAUUUAUCCACAAGGCAGUCCCUCGCCCCAUCCGUAAAGGCUAAUGAGGGCAGUUAUCUUUGUUCUGUGCACUGAUCUAAUCUAAGCCUUCAGAACCGGGGCUGCACAUAGUAGGUGCUCUAGAAAUAUUUGCUGAAUGUUCAAAGACUAAGAGAAUUAAAAACUGAUAAAAAAUGACAAAGGCCACAGCUUCACCAAAUGUUUAGCCUUCCCAAACACAGCCCCAUUGUUCUAUUCUCUUUAUACCCCUAGCCUUCUCCCUUGUUUUU